rnacentral:rRNA from 1 species
AGCAGUCGCCGCGGGAAUACGAAGGGGGCUAGCGUUGCUCGGAAUGACUGGGCGUAAAGGGCGCGUAGGCGGCGAUCAAAGUCAGGCGUGAAAUUCCUGGGCUCAACCUGGGGGCUGCGUUUGAUACUUGAUUGCUAGAGUGGGGAAGAGGGUCGUGGAAUUCCCAGUGUAGAGGUGAAAUUCGUAGAUAUUGGAAAGAACACCGGUGGCGAAGGCGGCGACCUGGUCUUUAACUGACGCUGAGGCGCGAAAGCGUGGGGAGCAAACAGGAUUAGAUACCCGUGUAGUCCCUGUCUCUUAUAC